rnacentral:rRNA from 1 species
UACGUAGGGUGCAAGCGUUGUCCGGAAUUAUUGGGCGUAAAGAGCUCGUAGGCGCUUGUCGCGUCGGCUGUGAAAACCUGGGGCUCAACCCCGGGCCUGCAGCCGAUACGGGCAGCUAGAGUUCGGUAGGGGAGACUGGAAUUCCUGGUGUAGCGGUGAAAUGCGCAGAUAUCAGGAGGAACACCGGUGGCGAAGGCGGGUCUCUGGGCCGAAACUGACGCUGAGACGCGAAAGCGUGGGGAGCGAACAGG